UAACUUUUAACAAUGGAUCUCUUGGCUCUCACAUCGAUGAAGAACACAGUGAAAUGUGAUAAGUAAUGUGAAUUGCAGAAUUCAGUGAAUCAUUGAAUCUUUGAACGCACCUUGCACCUUUUGGUAUUCCAAAA
rnacentral:rRNA from 1 species